rnacentral:rRNA from 1 species
GAUGAACGCUGGCGGCGUGCCUAAUACAUGCAAGUCGAGCGAACGGACGAGAAGCUUGCUUCUCUGAUGUUAGCGGCGGACGGGUGAGUAACACGUGGAUAACCUACCUAUAAGACUGGGAUAACUUCGGGAAACCGGAGCUAAUACCGGAUGAUAUUUUGAACCGCAUGGUUCAAAAGUGAAAGACGGUCUUGCUGUCACUUAUAGAUGGAUCCGCGCUGCAUUAGCUAGUUGGUAAGGUAACGGCUUACCAAGGCAACGAUGCAUAGCCGACCUGAGAGGGUGAUCGGCCACACUGGAACUGAGACACGGUCCAGACUCCUACGGGAGGCAGCAGUAGGGAAUCUUCCGCAAUGGGCGAAAGCCUGACGGAGCAACGCCGCGUGAGUGAUGAAGGUCUUCGGAUCGUAAAACUCUGUUAUUAGGGAAGAACAGAUGUGGAAGUAACUGUGCACAUCUUGACGGUACCUAAUCAGAAAGCAACGGCUAACUACGUG